rnacentral:rRNA from 1 species
CUACGGGGUGCAGCAGUGAGGAAUAUUGCACAAUGGGGGCAACUCUGAUGCAGCAACGCCGCGUGGAGGAUGACACUUUUCGGAGCGUAAACUCCUUUUAUAUAGGAAGAAGAUGACGGUACUAUAUGAAUAAGCGCCGGCUAACUCCGUGCCAGCAGCCGCGGUAAUACGGAGGGCGCAAGCGUUACUCGGAAUCACUGGGCGUAAAGAGCGCGUAGGCGGAUUAAAAAGUCAGAAGUGAAAUCCUAUAGCUUAACUAUAGAACUGCUUCUGAAACUCUUAAUCUAGAAUAUGGGAGAGGUAGAUGGAAUUUCUGGUGUAGGGGUAAAAUCCGUAGAGAUCAGAAGGAAUACCGAUUGCGAAGGCGAUCUACUAGAGCAUUAUUGACGCUGAGACGCGAAAGCGUGGGGAGCAAACAGGAUUAGAUACCCGAGUAGUC